CCGGUUGAUCCUGCCAGAGGCUACUGCUAUCGGGGUCCGACUAAGCCAUGCGAGUUGAGAGGGGUAAGCCCUCGGCAUAUUGCUCAGUAACACGCGGAUAACCUGCCCUUGGGUUUGGGAUAACCCCGGGAAGCUGGGACUAAUACCGGAUAGAUCAUAGAAACUGGAAUGUUCUUUGAUCGAAAGCUCCGGCGCCCAAGGAUGGGUCUGCGGCCUAUCAGGUAGUAGUGGGUGUAACGUACCUACUAGCCUACGACGGGUAAGGGUUGUGAGAGCAAGAGCCCUGAGAUGGAUUCUGAGACAUGAAUCCAGGCCCUACGGGGUGCAGCAGGCGCGAAAACUUUACACUGCGGGAAACCGCGAUAAGGGGACCCCGAGUGCCAGCACCUAGUGCUGGCUGUCCAGCUGUUCAAAAAACAGUUGUUAGCAAGGGCCGGGCAAGACCGGUGCCAGCCGCCGCGGUAACACCGGCGGCCCGAGUGGUAGCCGUUAUUAUUGGGUUUAAAGGGUCCGUAGCCGGCCUAUUAAGUCUCUUGGGAAAUCUGGCGACUCAAUCGUCAGGCGUUCAAGAGAUACUGUUAGGCUUGGGACCGGGAGAGGUGGGAGGUACUCCAGGGGUAGGGGUGAAAUCUCGUAAUCCUUGGGGGACCACCGAUGGCGAAGGCAUCCCACCAGAACGGGUCCGACGGUGAGGGACGAAAGCUGGGGGCACGAACCGGAUUAGAUACCCGGGUAGUCCCAGCCGUAAACGAUGCUCGCUAGGUGUCAGGUGCGGUGCGACCGCAUCUGGUGCCGCAGUGAAAACUUGAAGCGAGUCACCUGGGAAGUACGGUCGCAAGGCUGAAACUUAAAGGAAUUGGCGGGGGAGCACUACAACGGGUGGAGCCUGCGGUUCAAUUGGAUUCAACGCCGGG
rnacentral:rRNA from 1 species